rnacentral:rRNA from 1 species
GAGUUUGAUCAUGGCUCAGGAUGAACGCUGGCGGCGUGCCUAAUGCAUGCAAGUCGAGCGACGCAUGCCGGAGGGGUAACCCACUGGUAUGACGGAGCGGCGAACGGGUGAGUAACACGUGAGCAACCUGCCCCACAGACCGGGAUAGCCCAGGGAAACCUGGAUUAAUACCGGAUAUCCUCGAACAACCUCAUGGCUGAUCGAGGAAAUGCCUUUGUGCUGUGGGAUGGGCUCGCGGCUUAUCAGCUAGUUGGUGGGGUAACGGCCCACCAAGGCGUCGACGAGUAGCUGGUCUGAGAGGACGAUCAGCCACACUGGAACUGAGACACGGUCCAAACUCCUACGGGAGGCAGCAGCAGGGAAUCUUGCGCAAUGGGCGAAAGCCUGACGCAGCAACGCCGCGUGGGGGAUGAAGGCCUUCGGGUUGUAAACCCCUUUCAGGAGGGAAGAAAUUGACGGUACCUCCAAAAGAAGGACCGGCCAACUACGUGCCAGCAGCCGCGGUA